rnacentral:rRNA from 1 species
ACGGAAGGUUCAGGCGUUAUCCGGAUUUAUUGGGUUUAAAGGGAGCGCAGGCGGACCUUUAAGUCAGCUGUGAAAUACGGCGGCUCAACCGUCGAACUGCAGUUGAUACUGGAGGUCUUGAGUGCACACAGGGAUACUGGAAUUCAUGGUGUAGCGGUGAAAUGCUCAGAUAUCAUGAAGAACUCCAAUCGCGAAGGCAGGUAUCCGGGGUGCAACUGACGCUGAGGCUCGAAAGUGCGGGUAUCAAACAG